UACGGGGGGGGCAAGCGUUGUUCGGAAUUACUGGGCGUAAAGGGCUCGUAGGUGGCCAACUAAGUCGGACGUGAAAUCCCUCGGCUUAACCGGGGAACUGCGUCUGAUACUGGAUGGCUUGAGUUCGGGAGAGGGAUGCGGAAUUCCAGGUGUAGCGGUGAAAUGCGUAGAUAUCGGGAGGAACACCAGUGGCGAAGGCGACUUCCUGGCCUGUUCUUGACGCUGAGGCGCGAAAGCUAGGGGAGCAAACGGG
rnacentral:rRNA from 1 species